CGGCCUGCAGAUUGUCUUCCGUUUGCGAAAGCGGAAUUUACGUAGGAUUUAAAAUGCCAAAAUUAAAUUGUCGACGCAAUGAACGGACCGUUAAUGAACGGACUGUAAAGCACUUUAAAUUAAUCCUAGAACUGGCAAAUUACAAACGGUGAAAGUUCCCGCAGUCGACGAAGCUGUUGUAAUGACUUUGAUCCUGUGACUCGAAAAUUGAAAAAGGUCAAACUUUCGGCCGACUCAAAUGUGCAGCCAGUUCUAUGCCCUGAUCCAGUUGAUAAUGAACUGCCUGUAAAGCACUUUAAUCCUACAACUGGAAAAUCACAAACGGUGAAAGUUCCUGCAGUCACAGAUGUGCAGCCAGUUCUAUGCCCUGAUCAAGACGUGUUAGUUUCUAAUAACACCCAAGACAACUGUGGGCCAUUACUUUGUACCCUACACGCCAGCAAUGCCAACAUUGGUCCGAGAGGACCACAUGCAGUCUAACUGCUGCAAAAGCACAAGAGCAGUGACUGUUAUAGGAAUGCAAGGUCGGCUACAGACAUUUACAUUUCAAUUUUGUGCCUGUGAGGGACAAGCAGUGACACUCCUUCAUCAUCGUCUGUGGGGGGCAUCCCAAGCCAAGCCUUCAGUAGCAUUUACACUGGACUUGAUGACCUGGCUUCGAGCCCUGGUACUGGAGUGCCAGGUGCCAGUGAAGGGAUUUGUGAGGCGCUUGCCUCCAAAAUGGACAAAGUCAAUUGUUUGAACAUAAGCCAGGUUAGCUUGUAGAUGUUGUUUUAAAUAUUGUGUCCAGAAGUAUAUAUAGGAGAUCCUCGUAUUAUGCCAGUCCCGAGUUACAAUGUUUCAUACCACAUCUCCGUUUACUGGAUAAAGCCUUGUUUCGACGUAAGUGGUUUUGCGUUGUAAAUGUCGUAACGCAAACUUCGUGUUUGGUGUGCUCGGCGGAACAAUACACAGUUACGCAGCUUGAGACCCGAAGGACGGCGUCACCUCAGUCGUGUUGUACACCAUUUUAAAUAGCAUAACAUUAUUUACGUACAUUAUGUAUGUAUGUCCCAACUUACAGCAAAAUCUGUUGGCUCUUUACGAUGUGAGGUAGGAACAAAACGUCAUAAGUCGAGGACACCCUGUAUAGUAUUAUAUUAGUGCUAUAUGUUACAUUAACAUUAAUACAUGACAAUCUGUGGGUGUUUUCUAAAAUGCUUAUUGCAAAGAAUCUUCCCUA